rnacentral:rRNA from 1 species
AGGCAGCAGUGGGGAAUAUUGCACAAUGGGGGAAACCCUGAUGCAGCCAUGCCGCGUGUGUGAAGAAGGCCUUCGGGUUGUAAAGCACUUUCAGUAGGGAGGAAGGUAGUGUAGUUAACACCUGCACUAUUUGACGUUACCUACAGAAGAAGCACCGGCUAACUCCGUGCCAGCAGCCGCGGUAAUACGGAGGGUGCGAGCGUUAAUCGGAAUUACUGGGCGUAAAGCGCAUGCAGGCGGCCUGUUAAGUCAGAUGUGAAAGACCCGGGGCUUAACCUCGGAAUUGCAUUUGAAACUGGCAGGCUAGAGUCUUGUAGAGGGGGGUAGGAAUUUCAGGUGUAGCGGUGAAAUGCGUAGAGAUCUGAAGGAAUACCAGUGGCGAAGGCGGCCCCCUGGACAAAGACUGACGCUCAGAUGCGAAAGCGUGGGGAGCAAACAGGAUUAGAUACCCUGGUAG